rnacentral:rRNA from 1 species
AGUGAACGCUGGCGGUAGGCCCAACACAUGCAAGUCGAACGGCAGCACAGUAAGAGCUUGCUCUUACGGGUGGCGAGUGGCGGACGGGUGAGGAAUACAUCGGAAUCUACUUUUUCGUGGGGGAUAACGUAGGGAAACUUACGCUAAUACCGCAUACGACCUACGGGUGAAAGCAGGGGAUCUUCGGACCUUGCGCGAUUGAAUGAGCCGAUAUCGGAUUAGCUAGUUGGCGGGGUAAAGGCCCACCAAGGCGACGAUCCGUAGCUGGUCUGAGAGGAUGAUCAGCCACACUGGAACUGAGACACGGUCCAGACUCCUACGGGAGGCAGCAGUGGGGAAUAUUGGACAAUGGGCGCAAGCCUGAUCCAGCCAUACCGCGUGGGUGAAGAAGGCCUUCGGGUUGUAAAGCCCUUUUGUUGGGAAAGAAAAGCAGCAGGUUAAUACCCCGCUGUUCUGACGGUACCCAAAGAAUAAGCACCGGCUAACUUCGUG